rnacentral:lncRNA from 1 species
CUUUAGCUUAUCCCAACUAGCUCUUCGUAUUGCAACAGCCAAGGGGAACAACCGAGCACUCUCCGUUUCUUCCUCGAGCAAGAUAACAUAACCUACACGACGUGGUUUCCAAAUCAAAUACUUGUAGCUCAGACAGGGGGAAGAAGAUUUUACCUUAAAAGCAGGGGAUUUUUCUAGUGCCCGCUGUCAUUCUUAAAGAACUUGAUAGACGCUAGCCCUCAAUACCUACUGUAAAUUUAUUUUCAGAAGAUCAUUAAUCCAAUUUAUUCAAAUGUAAGAGAAAUAACAUUGGUUUCAGUUGCACAACAAAUGAAAAUUUAAGAUAUAGCUUAGUUGUGUUCUUCCCCUCUUAUAAGCAGUUUGAAGAAGUCAUGAAAAAUACAAAUGGAAAGUUACUUUAUCUGUAUUCUAGCUCGAAUAACCUGUCCGACAUAAGAUUGCAACAUUAAGCAAACCAAGAAAGAAGUAUCGUCUAAUAACGAAUAUGAAAGGGUUACUACAGAUUAAGCAUACCAAAGUAGGUGGAAUUUGGUAAAAGAGUGGAGUCUGCAUCUUUGUGUGGGCUUCUUAGUUCUUACAUGCUACUACAGCUUAAUUAACAACUUCAUGAAGUGGCCCUAAAUCAUCCUUGUGUUUGUGUUCUUACUUUUUCAAUUACCAGAAGAGUUUUGAGGAUCCAAAAGGCACCAGCUUUAACUAUAUCUAGAAAACUGUGGCAAUUGAUAGAUCCAAUAGAACAUAACAGACUCAUUACUAUCUUGCAGAUAGUAGAAGAAACUAAGGUUAUAACAUACUCAAUACUAUCUUGCAGGCAAUAGACGAAACUAAGGUUGCAGGACAUCAAUGCAUUUCCUAAUUGAAUACUUACCAUGGCGAGGCGGCGGACUGUGUCGAUCUGGGCGGUGGCCGGCGCGGCGAAGCGAAUCGCGGCGGGAGGCAGAAUGAAGAAAUUGGUGGAGUGGGAGGCAGAUCGAAGCAGAUCUCUGGCGAUUGCGGCAGCGGCGGUGACACGAAUCGUGACGGAAGAGAGGGAGAAAUUGCUACGCAGAGACAGGAAGAAGAGGCCACGGUGGCAGAUCGGAGCAGAUCUCUGGCGAUUGCGGCAGCGGCGAUGACGCAAAUCGCGGCGGAAGAGAUGGAGAAAUUGCUACGCGGAAACAGGAAGGAGGGGCCACGGUGCCAAGUUGGGGCCGGAGUAAUCGCCGCGGGAGAGGGGAGAGGCUGGUGUGGAGCUGCAGAAAGAAUACACAAACGAAGAGGAGGGAUUCACGGCGGAGGAAGGAGGGGCGGCCCUGAUUCAAACGGGGGAGG